UGUGUAGGCGGCCUGUUAAGUUCCGUGUGAAAUCUCCCGGCUCAACCGGGAGGGUGCGCGGAAAACUGGCGGGCUAGAGUGCGGGGUGGGAGAGUAGAAUUCCUGGUGUAGCGGUGAAAUGCGUAGAUAUCAGGAGGAAUACCGGUGGUGUAGACGGCUCUCUGGACCGCAACUGACGCUGAAACACGAAAGCGUGGGUAGAAC
rnacentral:rRNA from 1 species